GACGAACGCUGGCGGCGUGCCUAAUACAUGCCAGUAGAACGCUGAAGAGAGGAGCUUACUCUUCUUGGAUGAGUUGCGAACGGGUGAGUAACGCGUAGGUAACCUGCCUUGUAGCGGGGGAUAACUAUUGGAAACGAUAGCUAAUACCGCAUAACAAUGGAUGACACAUGUCAUUUAUUUGAAAGGGGCAAUUGCUCCACUACAAGAUGGACCUGCGUUGUAUUAGCUAGUAGGUGAGGUAAUGGCUCACCUAGGCGACGAUACAUAGCCGACCUGAGAGGGUGAUCGGCCAACCUGGGACUGAGACACGGCCCAGACUCCUACGGGAGGCAGCAGUAGGGAAUCUUCGGCAAUGGGGGCAACCCUGACCGAGCAACGCCGCGUGAGUGAAGAAGGUUUUCGGAUCGUAAAGCUCUGUUGUAAGUCAAGAACGGGUGUGAGAGUGGAAAGUUCACACUGUGACGGUAGCUUACCAGAAAGGGACGGCUAACUACGUG
rnacentral:rRNA from 1 species